GACGAACGCUGGCGGCGUGCCUAACACAUGCAAGUCGUACGGGGCAGCAAUGCCCAGUGGCGAACGGGUGCGUAACACGUGAGGAAUCUGUCCAUCGGCGGGGGAUAGCCAGCCCAACGGCUGGGUAAUACCGCGUACGUCGGCUGGGGCGCAUGCCUUGGCCGGGAAAGCAGCAAUGCACCGAUGGAGGACCUCGCGGCCUAUCAGCUUGUUGGUGAGGUAACGGCUCACCAAGGCGACGACGGGUAGCUGGUCUGAGAGGAUGAUCAGCCACAUUGGGACUGAGACACGGCCCAGACUCCUACGGGAGGCAGCAGUAGGGAAUCUUGCGCAAUGGGCGAAAGCCUGACGCAGCCAUGCCGCGUGAAUGAUGAAGGUCUUAGGAUUGUAAAAUUCUUUCACCGGGGAAGAUAAUGACGGUACCCGGAGAAGAAGCCCCGGCUAACUUCGUGCCAGCCGCCGCCGUAAGAC
rnacentral:rRNA from 1 species